rnacentral:rRNA from 1 species
CGAGACCUCAAGUCAGGCGGGGCUACCCGCUGAGUUUAAGCAUAUCAAUAA